GGCUGGUCCAAGUGAAGUGCAGUGAUGUUUAAAACUCAUUGAUCACAGUCAGUUACAGUUUUCUUUGUUUUUUUCUCCACUCACACUGCAUUACAUGACUAGCCUUCA
ensembl:misc_RNA Y_RNA Y RNA